AGAGUUUGAUCAUGGCUCAGGAUGAACGCUGGCGGCGUGCUUAACACAUGCAAGUCGAACGUGAACCAGUAGCAAUAUUGGGGAAAGUGGCGGACGGGUGAGUAACACGUGGGUGACCUGCCUUGCAGCGGGGGAUAACGAGGGGAAACCUUCGCUAAUACCGCAUAGGCUUACACUGAUGGGAAUGGUGUGGGUAAAACUGAGGUGCUGCAAGAGGGGCCUGCGUCCGAUUAGCUAGUUGGUGAGGUAAAGGCUCACCAAGGCGAUGAUCGGUAGCUGGUCUGAGAGGACGAUCAGCCACACGGGAACUGAGAGACGGUCCCGACUCCUACGGGGGGCAGCAGUGAGGAAUAUUGGACAAUGGGCUAACGCCUGACCCAGCAACGCCGCGUGGAGGAUGAAGGUUUUUGGAUUGUAAACUCCUUUUGUGGGGGAAGAGUGAGGACGGUACCCCAAGAAUAAGUCACGGCUAACUACGUGCCAGCAGCCCGCGGUAAUACGUAGGUGACGAGCGUUAUCCGGAAUUAUUGGGCGUAAAGCGCCCGCAGGCGGCUGUUCAAGUCUGACGUGAAAUCGCUCGGCUUAACUGGGCGGGGUCGUUGGAAACUGAAUAGCUUGAGGCAAGGAGAGGGGCGUGGAAUUCCCGGUGUAGUGGUGGAAUGCGUA
rnacentral:rRNA from 1 species